UGACCUACCACAGGUGCCUCUGCAUUGCUUGCUACAGGCCUCCACAGCCCCCCUGCUGACUGUCCAAGGAAUUAGGAAACUUAAUUUGGAAGGACAGCUGUGUGCAGCACCUAACAUUUAAAUACAUUAUGAGCCUAUCUAAGGACAACAGUGCAAGCUACCAUACUGGAUGAAACAUGAUGUUGCAUCGUGUAGGAACAUCCCCUGGCAAGGUCAACAGAAGGUUCAUCAGAGGAAGUUAUAGGUUCUCUGGAUAUGCCACAGUGCCUGCUUGGAGCUGAAGAAGAAAUGUUUGCUUC
rnacentral:lncRNA from 1 species